UUACCUUGUUACGACUUCACCCCAAUCACCAGCCCCACCUUCGACAGCUGCCUCCUUUUCAGGUUAGCCCACUGGCUUCGGGUGUUGCCGGCUCUCAUGGUGUGACGGGCGGUGUGUACAAGGCCCGGGAACGUAUUCACCGCGACAUUCUGAUUCGCGAUUACUAGCAACUCCAGCUUCAUGCAGGCGAGUUGCAGCCUGCAAUCCGAACUGGGACCACUUUUAAAAGAUUUGCUCCGCAUCGCUGCCUCGCUUCUCUCUGUAGUGGCCAUUGUAGCACGUGUGUAGCCCAGAGCAUAAGGGGCAUGAUGAUUUGACGUCAUCCCCACCUUCCUCCAGGUUACCCUGGCAGUCUCGUUAGAGUGCCCAACCUAAUGCUGGCAACUAACGAUAGGGGUUGCGCUCGUUGCGGGACUUAGCCCAACAUCUCACGACACGAGCUGACGACAACCAUGCACCACCUGUCUCAUCGCUCCCUAAAAGGGCACUCCCGUGUUUUCACAGGAUUCGAUGGAUGUCAAGCCCUGGUAAGGUUCUUCGCGUUGCUUCGAAUUAAACCACAUGCUCCGCUGCUUGUGCGGGCCCCGUCAAUUUCUUUGAGUUUUAAUUUUGCGACCGUACUCCCAGGGGGAGUGGUUAAUUUGUUAACUUCGGCACGAAAGGU
rnacentral:rRNA from 1 species